UAGCAGUGCAGAGCAGAGACAGGA
rnacentral:piRNA from 1 species